rnacentral:rRNA from 1 species
ACUCCUACGGGAGGCAGCAGUGGGGAAUAUUGCACAAUGGGCGCAAGCCUGAUGCAGCAACGCCGCGUGAGGGAUGAAGGCCUUCGGGUUGUAAACCUCUUUUAGCAGGGAAGAAGCGAAAGUGACGGUACCUGCAGAAAAAGCACCGGCUAACUACGUGCCAGCAGCCGCGGUAAUACGGAGGGUGCGAGCGUUAAUCGGAAUUACUGGGCGUAAAGCGCAUGCAGGUGGUUUGUUAAGUCAGAUGUGAAAGCCCGGGGCUCAACCUCGGAAUUGCAUUUGAAACUGGCAGACUAGAGUACUGUAGAGGGGGUAGAAUUUCAGGUGUAGCGGUGAAAUGCGUAGAGAUCUGAAGGAAUACCGGUGGCGAAGGCGGCCCCCUGG